rnacentral:rRNA from 1 species
UUAACACCUUCUUAUCCGCCUGGCCCCUGUCUGCUCGGUUUUGGGUUGGGGUGACCGCGGAGCAUAAAAUAGCCUCCACGAAAGAAGGGAUGAUUCCCUCAUUUUAGAACUACACUUCCAAAGACUAACAAAUUAAUUUUAAGUGAUCCGAUACCCGUAUUCGAUCAACGAACCAAGUUACCCUGGGGAUAACAGCGCAAUCUACCUCAAGAGCCCCUAUCGACAGGUGGGUUUACGACCUCGAUGUUGGAUCAGGGUAUCCCAGUGGUGCAGCAGCUACCAAAGGUUCGUUUGUUCAACGAUUAAAACCCU